rnacentral:rRNA from 1 species
UGAACGCUGGCGGCGUGCUUAACACAUGCAAGUCGCACGAGAACGCUUUAGCUUGCUAAAGCUAGUAAAGUGGCGCACGGGUGAGUAACGCGUGGGUAAUCUACCCCUGAAUUUGGGAUAACAUUGCGAAAGCGAUGCUAAUACCGGAUAAUAUCAUAAUAAUUGCGGUUAUUAUGAUCAAAGGUGGCCUCUAUAUAUAAGCUACUGUUUGGGGAUGAGCCCGCGUACCAUUAGCUUGUUGGUAGGGUAAUGGCCUACCAAGGCAACGAUGGUUAGCUGGUCUGAGAGGAUGAUCAGCCACACUGGAACUGACACACGGUCCAGACUCCUACGGGAGGCAGCAGUGAGGAAUUUUGCGCAAUGGGGGAAACCCUGACGCAGCAACGCCGCGUGAGUGAUGAAGGCUUUUGGGUCGUAAAGCUCUGUCAAGUGGGAAGAACCUACUUUAGGCCAAUACCCUAAAGUACUGACGGUACCACUGAAGGAAGCACCGGCUAACUCC